UAUGCUUAGCCCUAAACCUAGAUGUACUUUUACAUAUACACCCGCCAGGGUACUACAAGCACAGCUUAAAACCCAAAGGACUUGGCGGUGUCUCAGACCCACCUAGAGGAGCCUGUUCUAGAACCGAUAGUCCCCGUUAAACCUCACCACUUCUUGUUUUUACCGCCUAUAUACCGCCGUCGCCAGCUUACCCUGUGAAGGACUAACAGUAAGCAAAAGGGGCUCACCCAAAAACGUCAGGUCGAGGUGUAGCGUAUGAAGUGGGAAGAAAUGGGCUACAUUUUCUAAAUAACAGAACAUUACGGAAGGCAUCCUGAAAAUAAUGCCCAAAGGUGGAUUUAGUAGUAAAAAGCAAACAGAGUGCCCUUUUGAACCAGGCUCUGAGACGC
rnacentral:rRNA from 1 species